rnacentral:rRNA from 1 species
UACAGAGGGGGCAAGCGUUGUUCGGAAUUACUGGGCGUAAAGGGCGCGUAGGUGGCCUUCUAAGUUGAACGUGAAAUCCCUGGGCUCAACCCAGGAACUGCGUCCAAGACUGGGAGGCUUGAAUCCGGGAGAGGGAUGCGGAAUUCCAGGUGUAGCGGUGAAAUGCGUAGAUAUCGGAAGGAACACCAGUGGCGAAGGCGGCCUCCUGGGCUAAUACUGACACUGAGGUGCGAAAGCGUGGGGAGCAAACAGG